rnacentral:rRNA from 1 species
GACGAACGCUGGCGGCGUGCUUAACACAUGCAAGUCGAACGGAAAGGCCCUGCUUUUGUGGGGUGCUCGAGUGGCGAACGGGUGAGUAACACGUGAGUAACCUGCCCUUGACUUUGGGAUAACUUCAGGAAACUGGGGCUAAUACCGGAUAGGAGCUCCUGCUGCAUGGUGGGGGUUGGAAAGUUUCGGCGGUUGGGGAUGGACUCGCGGCUUAUCAGCUUGUUGGUGGGGUAGUGGCUUACCAAGGCUUUGACGGGUAGCCGGCCUGAGAGGGUGACCGGGCAACUUGGGACUGAGGUACGGCCCAGAAUCCUACGGGGGGGAGGAGUGGGGAAUAUUGCCCAAUGGGCGGAAGCCUGAUGCAACAACGGCGGGUGCGGGGUGACGGCCCUCGGGUUGUAAACCGCUUUCGCCUGUGACGAAGCGUGAGUGACGGUAAUGGGUAAAGAAGCACCGGCUAACUACGUG